UACGGAGGGGGCUAGCGUUGUUCGGAAUUACUGGGCGUAAAGCGCACGUAGGCGGAUAGUUAAGUUAGAGGUGAAAGCCCAGGGCUCAACCCUGGAACUGCCUUUAAUACUGGCUGUCUAGAGAUCGAGAGAGGUGAGUGGAAUUCCGAGUGUAGAGGUGAAAUUCGUAGAUAUUCGGAGGAACACCAGUGGCGAAGGCGGCUCACUGGCUCGAUACUGACGCUGAGGCGCGAAAGCGUGGGUAGCAAACAGG
rnacentral:rRNA from 1 species